AACUAGAGUCAUUUAGAGGUGCGUGGAAUUCUGUGUGUAGGGGUAAAAUCCGUAGAUACACAGAGGAACACCAAAAGCGAAGGCAGCGCACUGGAAAUGUACUGACGCUCAUGGACGAAAGCGUGGGGAGCGAACGGGAUUAGAUACCCCGGUAGUCCACGCCGUAAACGAUGGAUACUCGGUGUCAGGGGACUCGACCCCUCUGGUGCCCAAGCUAACGCAUUAAGUAUCCCGCCUGGGGAGUACGGUCGCAAGAUUAAAACUCAAAGGAAUAGACGGGGACCCACACAAGCGGUGGAGCAUCUGGCUUAAUUCGAUAAUGAGCGAGGAACCUCACCUAGGCUUGACAUCCCGAGAAUUUUCUAGAAAUAGAAAAGUGCCUUCUGGAACUCGGUGACAGGUGCUGCAUGGUUGUCGUCAGCUCGUGCCUUGAGGUGUUCGGUUAAGUCCGUGAACGAGCGCAACCCAUGUCCUGUGUUGUUUUUUCACAGGAGACUGCCGAUUCAAAGUCGGAGGAAGGUAUGGACGACGUCAAAUCAGCAUGGCCCUUAUGCCUAGGGCUGCACAGGUGCUACAAUGGCCAAUACAAUAGGUAGCAAUAUCGCAAGAUGGAGCCAAUCCCAAAAGUUGGUCUAAGUUCGGAUUGAGGGCUGCAAUUCGCCCUCAUGAAGUUGGAAUCGCUAGUAACCGUGAAUCACAA
rnacentral:rRNA from 1 species